GACGAACGCUGGCGGCGUGCUUAACACAUGCAAGUCGAGCGGUAAGGCCCUUUCGGGGGUACGACGAGCGGCGAACGGGUGAGUAACACGUGGGUGACCCGCCCUCAGCUCUGGGAUAAGCCUGGGAAACCGGGUCUAAUACUGGAUAUGACUCCAUGACGCAUGUUGUGGGGUGGAAAGCCUUGUGCGGCUGAGGAUGGGCCCGCGGCCUAUCAGCUUGUUGGUGGGGUGAUGGCCUACCAAGGCGACGGACGGGUAGCCGGCCUGAGAGGGCGACCGGCCACACUGGGGACUGAGACACGGCCCAGACUCCUACGGGAGGCAGCAGUGGGGAAUCUUGCGCAAUGGGCGAAAGCCUGACGCAGCGACGCCGCGUGAGGGAUGACGGCCU
rnacentral:rRNA from 1 species